CCUACGGGUCGCACCAGUGGGGAAUAUUGGACAAUGGGCGAAAGCCUGAUCCAGCAAUGCCGCGUGUGUGAAGAAGGUCUUCGGAUUGUAAAGCACUUUCGACGGGGACGAUGAUGACGGUACCCGUAGAAGAAGCCCCGGCUAACUUCGUGCCAGCAGCCGCGGUAAUACGAAGGGGGCUAGCGUUGCUCGGAAUGACUGGGCGUAAAGGGCGCGUAGGCGGUUUAUGCAGUCAGAUGUGAAAUCCCCGGGCUUAACCUGGGAACUGCAUUUGAGACGCAUAGACUAGAGGUCGAGAGAGGGUUGUGGAAUUCCCAGUGUAGAGGUGAAAUUCGUAGAUAUUCGGAGGAACACCAGUGGCGAAGGCGGCUUACUGGCUCGAUACUGACGCUGAGGUGCGAAAGCGUGGGUAGCAAACAGGAUUAGAUACCCGCGUAGUC
rnacentral:rRNA from 1 species